GGUCCUGAGAGGGAGAUCCCCCACACUGGUACUGAGACACGGACCAGACUCCUACGGGAGGCAGCAGUGAGGAAUAUUGGACAAUGGGCGGAAGCCUGAUCCAGCAACGCCGCGUGAGGGAUGACGGCCUUCGGGUUGUAAACCUCUUUCACCUGUGACGAAGCGAAAGUGACGGUAGCGGGAGAAGAAGCACCGGCCAACUACGUGCCAGCAGCCGCGGUAAUACGUAGGGUGCGAGCGUUGUCCGGAAUUAUUGGGCGUAAAGGGCUCGUAGGCGGUUUGUCGCGUCGGGAGUGAAAACACCGGGCUUAACUCGGUGCUUGCUUUCGAUACGGGCAGACUAGAGGUAUGCAGGGGAGAACGGAAUUCCUGGUGUAGCGGUGAAAUGCGCAGAUAUCAGGAGGAACACCGGUGGCGAAGGCGGUUCUCUGGGCAUUACCUGACGCUGAGGAGCGAAAGUGUGGGGAGCGAACAGGAUUAGAUACCCUGGUAGUCCACACCGUAAACGUUGGGCGCUAGGUGUGGGGCCUAUUCCAUGGGUUCCGUGCCGCAGCUAACGCAUUAAGCGCCCCGCCUGGGGAGUACGGCCGCAAGGCUAAAACUCAAAGGAUUGACGG
rnacentral:rRNA from 1 species